AUAGCUCUUGUGUUUUAUUAUUUUCCGCAGUGAUGGGUUCACAAAUGGUGAUGUAGUGGGAUUUUUUAUAAGUCUUCCAGAAAACGAUAGGAAACCAGCAACAUUUCUUCCACCAACCUAUAAAGAUAAGGCGUUAAUAAAGUUCAAAAAUCAUCUCUAUUUCGAAGAAAAAGAUCUCGUGGACAAGGCAGAAAAGAGUUUAAAACCAUUACCUGAAAGCCAGAUAAAAUUCUACAAAAAUGGCGUCUGUCAGGGAGUUGCGUGGCAGGACAUUUACGAGGGAACGUAUUACCCAGCCGUGUCACUCUACAAAAAUGCAACGAUCACGCUUAAUUUUGGACCCGAUUUUCAAUUCCCGCCAACGGAUGAGGACUUUCAACCGGUAAU